rnacentral:rRNA from 1 species
CACUGCCGAGAAAAGCCUCUAGAUAGAAAAUAGGUGCCCGUACCGCAAACCGACACAGGUAGUCAAGAUGAGAAUUCUAAGGUGAGCGAGCGAACUCUCGUUAAGGAACUCGGCAAAAUGACCCCGUAACUUCGGGAGAAGGGGUGCUCUUUAGGGUUAACGCCCAGAAGAGCCGCAGUGAAUAGGCCCAAGCGACUGUUUAUCAAAAACACAGGUCUCUGCUAAACCGUAAGGUGAUGUAUAGGGGCUGACGCCUGCCCGGUGCUGGAAGGUUAAGAGGAGUGGUUAGCUUCUGCGAAGCUACGAAUCGAAGCCCCAGUAAACGGCGGCCGUAACUAUAACGGUCCUAAGGUAGCGAAAUUCCUUGUCGGGUAAGUUCCGACCCGCACGAAAGGCGUAACGAUUUGGGCACUGUCUCAA